rnacentral:lncRNA from 1 species
AGGAACCAGAGACAGACCACUUCACCCACAAAUCUUUAUUGUGCCCCCAAGCCCACACCUAUACGAGGGCCAGGGGAAGGUAAGAAGUAUUUCUUUAAGUUCUUUGGGGAAACAGCAAUAAACGUGCUGUGUUCUCCCUCAGGAAAACCCCAAACACUCCCUUGCUACUCCAUAUUGAGCAGCCCCUGCAGGGCAGCCUCACCCCUGGCUGUGGAAUGUGCAAGUGCCCCUCUCACCUCUGCACUCCUGCUCAGGGUCACCCCAAUACCCAUUCUGCAACUGGGAGCAUUUGCAGCUCCCAGACGCUGCCCAGCAGGGGCACUGACCUGUGACCUGAAGGAAGAAAGCAUAGCCUGGUCAGCAGGGCCAAAGACCCUUCUCUGGGAGAGGGAAAAGGACUUGAGUGCUUAGACAUGCAUGGCACACACAUACUUGUAUUUCCUCCCAGCUGUGUUCCUGCCCAAGGCAGCACCCACACUUGCAUUUGGCUGAGAGCCUCUCCCUUCCUGCUUUCUCUGGUGUUGUGAGAAGUCAGGGACCCUGACUGGAGGGACCGGCUGGAGCCGAGGCAGAAGAACAUAAAUUGUGAAGAUUUCAUGGACAUUUAUCAGUUCCCCAAAUUAAUACUUUUAUAAUUUCUUAUGCCUGUCUUUAUUGCAAUCUCUGAACAUAAAUUGUGAAGAUUUCAUGGACAUUUAUUAUUUCCCCAAUAAUACUCUUAUAAUUUCUUAUGCCUGUCUUUAAUCUCUUAAUCCUGUUAUCUUCAUAAGCCGAGAAUAUACAUCACCUCAGGACCACUAUUGUACAAAUUGAUUGUAGAACUUGUGUGUUUGAACAAUAUGAAAUCUGAUUGUAAAAUAUGUGUGUUCGAACAAUAUGAAAUCAGUGCACCCUGAAAAAGAACAGAAUAUCAGCAAUUUUCAGGGAACAAGGGAAGAUAACCAUAAGGUCUGACUGCCUGCAGGGUCGGGCAGAAUAGAGCCAUAUUUUUCUUCUUUCAGGGAGCCUAUAAAUGGAUGUGCGAGUAGGAGAAAUAUCGCUGAAUUAUUUUCCCAGCAAGGAAUAUUAAUAAUUGAUACCCUAGGGAAGGAAUGCAUUCCUGGGGGAAGGUCUAUAGACGGCCACUCUGGG